ensembl:miRNA
UCCUUCAUUCCACCGGAGUCUGUGUAAAGUGCUAAUCAGAUUUCAGUGGUUUGAAGAGUA